AUCAUAAUUGUAUGAAAAUGAUGAGAAGACACCAAGGAAUAAUCAGAUUUAUUGCAGACAUUUCACAAAAAGCAAACACAUUUUUUAUUAAUUUGUCAGAGUUUUGGUUAUAAAAUACAUACUAAUGCUAUUUACCUUAAGAAAAGUCAUAUCUAUGGAAAAUCUGGCUCAUUGUACUGAUAUUAACAGGCACCACUUUAGUUAUUUAUUCCUUCCUAUAAGCAAAAACAUGCCACUUCCUGUAAAAUAUAUGCUUUGCAUGGGGCGGAGGCGUGGCAGCAGAGCGUCUGCAAGCUAAUCACAGAACUUCAAAUCAAAACCACAUGUACGCAUCGACAUUCCUUGCUCCAGCCUAACAGCAAUGAACAUGAACACUCCUCAAACCUGUCACCUCGGGGUCAGUUGUUUGUGACAUCAUGGGUCCGGCGUUUCCUGACACUCGAGCUUGAGCAACCAAAUUAGUAGAUGAAAGGUUCUCCCUGGUCCUCACAAGCACAAGGUUCUCGUCACAGCCUUCACUUGAAUAUGCAUUGGGAGACGGUAUUACGCUGUGGCCCCUUUGGGCGAAAGGAAAGUUGUGGUUUGGCCAAAAGAUUAAUGCAAACCUUGACAAACCUUGGAGGCAGAAAACCAGGUCAGCAUUUCCCAAUUGUGCAUGUUUCCACACAGACAGAGAUUAAAAACUGAAAAACUUAGGACAGAGUUACCAAUUGAAGUCUUGCUCUCACUCACUGUCUUGCAGUUUGAAUGAAUUACAGGCUUGUCUCGACACAUUAUAUGAAAUAGCGUAUUUUGGGGAAAAAAAGAAGAAGCUUCUGACAUCUCUGUAUGUAAUCAGAAUACCAGAUCUAAAGAUUCAAGGUAUCUGCACAUCAGGCCGAUUUAGGUCAGGACUGGAAGUAAAUGUUAAGGACACUAGGCAGAAGAAAACAUACAUACCUUUUACAAAUUCACACAAAAGAGAUUUCAAUGCACCGUAUUUGUUUACAUUUCCCUAAUUUUUUCCAACAAAUAAUAUCCUAAAUACCAUGUUUCAUCACAAAUGACGAAACAUGGUAGUACCAGCAUUAUGCUUUGGGGUCGUUUUUGAUAAUUAGGCCAACACUGGUAAGAAACUUAUUAGAGAUUGCAUAAAAAUUCAGUGUAAGGCUGGGGCUUUGGCUGACCUUCCACCAGAACAACCUCUCUUAACAAAGAGAGGUUGCAUAUCUAGAUCAAAUACAUAAGCUGGAAUGACCCAGUCAAAGUCCACAUGUAAAUCAAAAUGGAAAAUCUCCAGCAAGACUUGGAAAGUAAGCUCUUCAUCUGAUCUGACUGAGCUUGAGCUAUCUUGCAAAAAACUAUGGUUAACCCCCACCCCCAAAACAUCUGUUUGUUACUAUGCAGCUGUAAAUUCAGCAAAAGAUGAUUUGUAAAAAGUAUUGGUUUGGGAUGGCUUACCACUCUUUAAUUUUUUUAUUUGCAAAGGAUUUUGAAAACACUGUGUGAGACACUGCAGAUUUUAUUAAUAGCUCCAUGUGUUAACGGUCAACCCCUGAACAUACUACUAGGAGAAAUUAAGGAGAUGAAGAGAGGAGCCUAUAUUGUACGGAAGAGUAAAUGUUUUUUCGAGGUUGAUCAGGAGCAGAUGUAGUGAGACGAAAGGAGAAGAGACGGGGUACCAAGGUCUGGAAGCAUUUAGUUUGGGGUAUCCCAGGUCUACUGAAUGACAGAGGGCAUGGCCUUGCCUUGACACAGGCAGAAAGCAUCUGCUUUGCUCCAACCCUAUUGGAAUGUAAUUUUAAGCCAAAUAGAAUUGUUUGUUUAUAUCUGCAUCAUACUUGUACAAUUGUGCCUAAAAUACUGAGUCACCCCUCUAAAUCAAUUAAGAUUGUCCAGUCCCUUCUGUUGCUGCAUGUGUACAAUCCAGCAUCUCAAUGCUUUUCCAAACAUUUGUGUAAGAAUGGGUCAUUCUCAAGGGCCCAAAGAAUCAAAAUGAGCUAGGUAGGAUGCUACAUGGACAAUAAGUCCAUUUGUAAAAGUUCUACACAACUAAAAAUUUGACAGCCACUUAGUGAUAAGCUAAGUAAAGUAGCAAAGCAGGGACACCACUGACUAACAUGCACAUUGUGCAGAAGCCAAGAGCUGAUCAGAUUAUCUAAAGAAUAGUGGGUAAAAACACAUGGACUGGGUUUUCAUGGUUGAGAAUUUCAAAUCAAAGCCUUGUAACGCCAAGUGCCCCUAUGAAGUGAUAUGAACCAUGGCACCACUGGACUCUAGAGCAAUAGACAUUUUCUCUGGACUGACAAAUGAAGUCUGCCUGCCUGGUAAUCCAGUGAAUGAAUCUGAAUGUGGUGAAGAACAGUACUCACCCGACUGCAUUGUCAAGUGUGAACGAUGAUGGAAGAAUUAUUAUGGUGAGGGGUUGUUUUUAUUUUAAGAAUUUGGGCUUGACCCAAAUUCUAGUAGAACUUCUAACGAUGCAGUAUCAAAGAUAUUUUUGACCAUUUAAUACUCACUGUUAUGUGGGGACUGUUUGGGAUGGUCCCGUUUCAACGGGACUGCACACUGGUGUGACACAGUCUGGAAUGGGUGAGUUGGACUGACAGAACACCUUAGGGAUGAAUUAGGGCACAGACUGCAAGUAUUCUGAUUACCACACUCCUAAACCUAAACUUUGUUUCCAACUAAACUUUGUUUAGGAGUGGUAAUGAAGCUGAAGCUGUUAUAUCUACAAAUACUGGAUCAUCUCAGUGUCGCGUAUAUAAGACUACAGGCUUGGUUUUGAUGGGGCCUCAUGCUCUUUGUGCCUUUCAACACCAAGCUGAUGGAGUAAAAUGAGAUGCAGCUGAUAUCCUUCCUAAUGGGUUAGACAAUGAUAGAUUGAGUGUUGAACUUCCUGUCAGCAAACAGGGAUGUAAUAAUCCUAAAACUGACGACGUGUAAGAUCUUCUAUAGAUGUCAGCAUGUUUUCCAUAAGAGGUUUAACUAUACUUGCACCAUACUGUUUGACUUUUAUGUGCUGUGUUGUCCAUGUCAGUCAGCUACCUCUCAGUUUCUGCUUGUAUGUCGUCAACAUCAUCAGACCACUGGUUCAAGGACCUGUGUCAAACAUUGCCUCAUUCAAUGUGUUCAGAUUCUUUUAAUAGACUAAAAUACAUUUAGGUACUAUUUUGUCAAAUCACUGACCUAUGUGGUGUUUUUUCUCAUCUCACAGGGGCUAAAAAGGGA